UGAAGUGCUUCUAUACAGUAGCAGUAUAGAGGACGCAUUGACGUAGGUAGAGAGGGUCACGAGAUAAAUAUUGACAAGGGCAAUUGAGUGGAGUAUAAAGAACUGGAGCAAGCAAGAAAAAAUCAGACCAAUGCUUAGAUGGGCAAAGGAAGAAACCUUGGCAGUUGAGAAAUUCUAUCAGUGUGAGAGAAGGUGGCAUUCAUUGACAUUGAGGACAUUUACCACGCUUGAAAGUCAUGAACAGAGGCCAUGAGGUCCCCGGACUCCUGGAACACCAAUUUUUCCAUUAGUACCUGGUAAACCUGGAGACCCAACCUUUCCCUAGAAAAUAAAUGGUUUAAACUAUUAGAAAAUUGAACUACAUCUAUGUGAUUUAUUUCAAUCGGUAUUUAUUUCUACUUUACUUUUUCUUUGUAAAUAUUUAUUUGAAGGAAAAAUAUAAAAAACAUCUUAGGUUAUUAAUUAGUUGAGACUUUACAAAUAGAAGAAACUGGCAAUGAUAUGUACAAAUCAAGAUAUAUUUGUCAAUGUUAAAAAAAAAGUUGUAUAUGCUUAUAUAUUCAAUUACUUUAAAACUUUUGAAAUUUACACAGAAGAACUUUGAAAUCUCCAAAGAUAUACGUUAAAAAAUCUUUUUGUCCUCUUACUGGAAGGCCAGGAAAUCCAAUAUCUCCUUUCUCUCCUUUUUCUCCUGGUGAUCCUAUGUCCCCUUUUGGUCCAUCAUGACCACGUUUCCCACGGCCAGCAAAUUUUCCAUGUCGUCCUCGCUUGCCCUGAUU